CUGGACCUACCAUGAAAGACUUCUGAAUCCAGGAAGAGAAACUGACUGGGCAACAUGUUAUUCAGAGAUGGGACCUCAGUAUGUUGCCACGGCUGACCUUGAACUCCUGCACUCAAGGGAUUUUCCUGCCCUGGCCUCCCGAAGUAUUGGUAUUACAGGCAUGAGCCAUUGUGCCCACCGUCUCUGGUUCUUAACCUUCUGCCUCCCUCUUCCAGUUUUAAAGAAUGCUUGUAAUUACACGGGCUCUCCUAGAUACUCCAGGAUAGUCUUGUUUUAAGGUCAGCUGAUGAGCAACAUUAAUUUUAUCUGCACUCUUAAUUCCCCCUUCCUAUGUAAUUGUGCUGUGUAACAUAGGACAUGAGCAAUUGCUGGCAGUGGGGGUUAUUAUUUUGGCCACCACAGUAACUAUUUUAUGCCAGGUACUCAGCUAAGCACUGGUGAAUUAAGCAUGAAUAACACACACUCCCUAAUCUCCAUCCAUUCAUGGGAGGAGCACCUCACCUGCCAUGCUCCUGAGAAUCUCAGGAGU
rnacentral:lncRNA from 1 species